rnacentral:rRNA from 1 species
AGUCGAGCGAGGUAGCAAUACCUAGCGGCAGACGGGUGCGUAACAUGUGGGAAUCUGCCUUUUGGUUCGGAACAACACGGGGAAACCUGUGCUAAUACCGGAUAAGCCCUUACGGGGAAAGUUUUAAUGCCAUAAGAUGAGCCCGCAUUUGAUUAGUUAGUUGGUGAGGUAAAAGCUCACCAAGGCGAUAAUCAAUAGCUGAUUUGAGAGGAUGAUCAGCCACACUGGGACUGAGAUACGGCCCAGACUCC